UGGGGAAUUUUGGACAAUGGGGGAAACCCUGAUCCAGCCAUCCCGCGUGUGCGAUGAAGGCCUUCGGGUUGUAAAGCACUUUUGGCAGGAAAGAAACGUCGCGGGUUAAUACCCCGCGAAACUGACGGUACCUGCAGAAUAAGCACCGGCUAACUACGUGCCAGCAGCCGCGGUAAUACGUAGGAUGCAAGCGUUAAUCGGAAUUACUGGGCGUAAAGCGUGCGCAGGCGGUUCGGAAAGAAAGAUGUGAAAUCCCAGAGCUUAACUUUGGAACUGCAUUUUUAACUACCGGGCUAGAGUGUGUCAGAGGGAGGUGGAAUUCCGCGUGUAGCGGUGAAAUGCGUAGAUAUGCGGAGGAACACCGAUGGCGAAGGCAGCCUCCUGGGAUAACACUGACGCUCAUGCACGAAAGCGUGGGGAGCAAACAGGAUUAGAUACCCUGGUAGUCCACGCCCUAAACGAUGUCAACUAGCUGUUGGGGGCCUUCGGGCCUUGGUAGCGCAGCUAACGCGUGAAGUUGACCGCCUGGGGAGUACGGUCGCAAGGUUAAAACUCAAAUGAAUUGACGGGGUCAUAGCUG
rnacentral:rRNA from 1 species